AGUUCGUGAGACAGACAGACAGCUCCCCUCGAGUGCUUUCCCGACCUGACACCAAAUCUGCAUUUUAGUACAGUUUCCUUUAAGUCACCCCAGAGUCCGUAGUUCCAGAAGCCCGAGGGGCCCGGGCUGGACCCAGAGGGAAGGGAGGUCUCUCCCUCGGGAGGCUUCUAGGCCUGCCACGGAAUAAGGUAAUAGGGGAAGAGAAAGAUGAGUCUCCACGGCCCCAUCCGUGCCCCCGGGGACUUGCCUGCACGUUCUCUGCUCGUCUCCCCUACCCGCUGCCCGGGAAGUCGUGGCCAAGCCGGGGCCCCAGCGCCAGAACCCGCGGAGAAGUUUCGCCGCUGCAAACUGCAAUAAACAGCCCGGAUGUCUGAAAAUGUGACUCCGUCUAUUGGGAAAGGAAUGUCAAAAAAGGCCUUUCACAUCAGCUAUCUCAGUCCCCUGUUGUAUCAGUGCAAGAUGAGGUUCAACAAUUUGCUGAAGGUUUUGCAGCUGCACCAAGAAAAAGCCGUGUGAACACACAGCAAGAAGGCAGCCGUCUGCAGUCCUAGAAGAGAGCUCUCACCAGAGCGCAACCAUGCUGGCAACCCCAUCCCAGACUCCAGCCUCCAGACGGGGCUUCCCUGGUGGUGCAGUGGUUAAGAAUCCACCUGCCAAUGCAGGGGACAUGGGUUCGAGCCCUGGUCCGGGAAGAUCCCACAUGCUGCAGAGCAACUAAGCCCGUGUGCCACAACUACUGAGCCUGCGUGCCACAACUACUGAAGCCUACGCGCCUAGAGCCCAUGCUCCGCAACAAGAGAAGCCACCGCAAUGAGAAGCCCGUGCUCUGCAACGAAGAGUAGUCCCCGCUCACCACAACUAGAGAAAGCCCAAGCACUGCAGUGAAGACCCAAUGCAGCCAAAAAUAAAAUAAAU